rnacentral:lncRNA from 1 species
CCGGGAGGAGCGUGGAGCGGCGGCGGCGGCAGAAAUAAUGGAAGAAUUGCAUAGCCUGGACCCACGACGGCAGGAAUUAUUAGAGGCCAGGUUUACUGGAGUAGGUGUUAGUAAGUGACGAGUAGCACAGCCCCUCUAUGGUUUAGAUGGCAGUGCUGCAAAGGAGGCAACAGAGGAGCAGUCUGCUCUGCCAAUCCUCACGUCAGUGAUGCUAGCAAAACCUCGGCUUGACACAGAGCAGCUGGCGUAAAGGAGAGCUGGCCUCUGCUUCACUUUUGUUUCAGCUCAGCAAAACAGUCCCUCAUCUACGGGAUCUGGCAACACAGAGCAUUCCUGCAGCUCCCAAAAACAGAUCUCCAUCCAGCACAGACAGACCCA